rnacentral:lncRNA from 1 species
AAGAAACCACCCGAAAUCAGCAGAAAAACUCUCAAAAUGUUCGGGUGAAGAAAAUACACUCAGAUAUCAUGACGAAAAACUCGGAAAAGCAUCCGAUCUAGGUCAGAAGCAUCAUUGACCAUAAGGUCUCAGAAAAAUCCCCAAAAAAUCUCAAAAAGAGUUCAACCAAGACAACGAGAUGUAGAGAAAAGUAGUCGAAUCGUCAUCUAGGCUCUGAUACCAUGUUAACAUUCAGAUUAAACUCUCAAAAAGAGUUCAACCAAGACAACAAGAUGUAGAGAUACAUAAUCGGAUCGUCGUCUAGGCUCUGAUACCAUGUAAAUAUUGAUAUUAGACCGAGAAAUUAUGGAAAAUGUAGAGAGAGAAAGUAGAGAGAAGAUAGAGCGUUUGGAACUCUCUAGAAUAGGGAGAGAGUUUAUACAGAGAAAAUAAUGUUGAAA